AUCUGUCCAGAAAGUAUGCAUCCUUCUCUGUUUGCCCCACCAGGUGAUUAAGAUGAUAUCAACAGGAGACUUUAAUGGGUUUUAAAUGGCUGACUGCACUAUGUGACGGUCAGUUUUUCUCUGCUCCCGUCUGGAUCUGACACAACCGAAGUGCAUAAACUUUGUCCAUAUAGACACAAGCUGAGUCUAGACGAGUUUGUGCAUGGCGCUCCGUGACCGAGGUGGAGGUGGACGCUUGCUGCAACCAGCCCACAUGGGCAAAUCAUGCGGUAGAAACCGAUUUAAAGACUGAGAACCGUCGCAAUAUACACUGUUUUUUUACUUUUCCAGAUUUUUCGAGUGGGGCUAAAGCAGCCUCCAGUUGGCUGCCCGGCCUCAGAACUUGAGCUGCCCAGCGUCGUAGUUAGCUCACGAGCUCGCUGGUCGCUAACGUCUGCCAUCCUGGUGCGAUGUAUUCCAUCCACUGUAUACUGGGCCUAUUUUAGUGGUUAAAAUAUAUAAGCAUGUGCACAGGUAUACACAUUGAAAAAAUUAUUUGAUCACAUAGUAUCCAAUUUUCAGCGGGGCAUUGAGUGGACCUGCCCAUGGGAUUUGAGAGUGGAGAUAGUGACUUGAUUAUUCAGUAUUUUGAAACCUCGUUUUAUGUAUUUUGAAACCAAUCAAAUUUGGCAACACUCUUCCCUGCAAUGUGAAAAUAUGUACAAGAUUUUCACUUCACCUUUUUUAUGUUUGGACAUUGCAUUAGUUCCUCACACUCUGAGCCACACUUUCACACCACCAAUUGACAAACUGUGUUCCUUGUUGUUUCAUUCUUAAAUGUUUUUAAGUUGUUAAUUUAACCAAAUUAAGCUGAGUUAGCUAAAGCUAAGAUUUUGGGUAACACUGAGAAUUGUUCCAACAUUCAAAUAUGUCAUGUCGUAUCCAAGCUGCUUAUCCUCACAAGGGUUGCAGGAAAGCUGGAACCUAUCCCAGCUAGAUUCGGGCGAAAGGCAGACUACACCCUGAACUGGUCACCAGUCAGUCAUAGGGCAGAUAUUGACACCAUUACUGAGCGGGAAUCGAUGCCACGCUGCCCAUAUCAGAGGGAGGCGUGUGUACCACUACACCGUCAGUGACUCCACCAUUCAAGUAUGGUUUACAUGAAAAAAAAAAUGCCAGGUUAGACAUAGAGUAGACACUAAAUUAAAUAAAUCAUUUUCAUCUCCUCCAAGCUAAAAUACGGAAAGUGGCAGAGGACUUCCGUUUUUACCAGUGGGUCCAGUAUUCUUUUCUGGAAUAUCGUCGCCAUUUUCUUCGUGGCUCCCCUCCUGCUGCACGUGGGCCCUGCCUGGCCGCACGGGUCGCCUCCAGGCCUCUGGACUCUCUCACCCCUCUCCUGCGGCCCUGGCCCUGCCCACCCUGGGUCAUUUAUCACGGAGCAGGAGGGGAGCCCCCAGGCCCGCAGGCUCCUGUCAGCCCCUGGAAUCGCCUCUUUGUGGCUUCCAGCAAACAAGUGUCGGAUCAGCAAAAGUCUAUUAAAGCCCGGUGGGCCUUUCUCAGCCAAUUGGGUCCGGGUCAGUGAGUCGCUCCCCCGGCUGCUCCGAGAGCUCUUUUGUGUCGCCGCCGUUGGCUGACACAAGAUUAAUGAUUUUUAGCAGCCACUUGGUUCUUAUUCGUAGAGUUCUACCCUGGUGCCCCUCUCUUUUCCCCCUCUUUACACGCCCCUUCAAACCAUCUCUCAUACUCCAUUUUCUAAUUUCUGUUUUUACGCUCACUCCUCCCACUGCCCGCCAACCCAAUCAAUGCUAAGCGUUUGCAUCUUCAUUUGCUCUGGUCAUCGUGCCUCCAACUGAUUGCUGCUAAUGCCUAAUGAAUCUGAAGCAUGUUGAUAACCAACUUUCCAAUCCACAUUAAAACCCUGGCAGGCAUCCUCAAGAGGCUGCAAGUAAUUUGAAAUCUUCCAGCCCCCUUUCACCAGUUCCAUGUUGGUCAUGUUCUCAGUGUUGUUUCCAGUAAUUACUGCAGGUUAAGUGCACGUCCCGGAGCCCGGCGGAGGCAGUUCUAUCCCUCACCUGGGACAUGACUCAGCACAGCUUGGGUCAUCCGGCCAUUUCCCUGACCGCCGGACCACACCCGGCCUACUCUAAAGCCGCAGGAGCGGCUCUCGUCUUCACUUACAUCAUGUAAUGCAAAGCAAAGAUUUAAGCGAGCUGUUGUCUGUUUGAAGCCUGAAUGGAUGAACCCAGCCCGCUUCCACGUCCAUCCACCUGCCGCGUUUCCUCCCCCAUGAAUCUUCUCGCCUGUGCGUUUGUUGGUAUGAGCUUUUAUGGAAACGGUUACAGAUUGGAAGACGGCGGCACGCUGGCAGUCUGCAUGAUUACUCACACAGAUAGGGAGAGACCACGGGCUGGGCAAUCUGGGAAAGCCGCCCUACUACACACUGCAGGGAUGUGGAGCAGUGUGAAAAACUCACCAAUGCCAGGGAAUAACAAAUCUCCUGAUGUCGCCUUCCUGCAAAAUAAAUACACUCCCCAUACAAGUCAUCCAUCUGGGCUGCAAGUCGCAGCGAAGAUGCCCCCAUUACAUUCCUGACACACACACAUGCACAACAAUACACACACACACACACACGUUAUACAUUGUUUACUUGUUUCAUUCAAUGAAACAUGUUGGAAAGACAUUGCAAUGACUUAUUCGAAGUAUAUACGGAACACCAUGAUCGGAUUCCACCACCUUAGCAGGAAUGUGCAAGCUGGACCGCAUUUAGCAAGAGAAACUUGGAACGUUGGAAAAUCAAGUAAAGAAAAGACAGUUCGGUCUAGUUUGCACAUCCUCUGAAUGAAGAAAAGGCAGAUUCUUCAAUGUUUACACAUACGCAUAAGCACACACAGACACACUUACACAAACAAUUUAUUCGUUAAUAAAUUGAC